AGCAAGUUAGGCAGGACUAGGAGUCAAAGAGGAUUCUGGGAAAUGUAGUAGAGAAGUGGUGUUCCAGGAAGGAAGUGACAUAGCAAGGAGACUCAUUUAAGAAAAGGAAACAGGAAGUGCUGCCCUUUUUCCCCUUCUUCCUCCAGUGGCAGGAUGUUAGACACCGGCAAGGAGGGACGCCAAUAAGGUUCUGGUUUGUCAGAUGGAGCCUGGGAAUCUGCUUUGAGAAUAGACCAAUAGUGCUAUGCCCAGAUUCCAGAGUCAUUCCCCUCCCCCCAAAAAAAACCAACGAGGAGACCAAGCUCAAGCUCAAGCUUGAACUCUCCAUCUGUCCAAGCAGCCACUGAGAGCAGAGCAUGCUCAAUCCUGUGCAAGGUAGGGUUUGUUUAUUUAUUUAUUUAUUUAUUUAUUUAUUUAUUUAUUUAUUUAUA
rnacentral:lncRNA from 1 species